rnacentral:rRNA from 1 species
UACGUAGGGUGCAAGCGUUAAUCGGAAUUGCUGGGCGUAAAGCGUGCGCAGGCGGUUCGCUAAGACAGAUGUGAAAUGCCCGGGCUUAACCUGGGAACUGCAUUUGUGACUGCAUGGCUAGAGUUUGGCAGAGGGGGGUAGAAUUCCACGUGUAGCAGUGAAAUGCGUAGAUAUGUGGAGGAACACCGAUGGCGAAGGCAGCCCCCUGGGUCAAGACUGACGCUCAUGCACGAAAGCGUGGGGAGCAAACAGG